rnacentral:rRNA from 1 species
UUCGUAGGCGGUGCGGCAAGUUGGGAGUGAAAUCUCUGGGCUUAACUCAGAGGCUGCUUUCAAAACUGCCGCGCUCGAGUGCGAGAGAGGUCAGUGGAAUUGCAGGUGUAGCGGUGAAAUGCGUAGAUAUCUGCAGGAACACCCGUGGCGAAGGCGGCUGACUGGAUCGCAACUGACGCUGAGGAACGAAAGCUAGGGGAGCAAACAGGAUUAGAUACCCUGGUAGUCCUAGCCCUAAACCAUCAGGACUUGGGGUGGCCCGCGUAGGCGGGUCGUCCCGUAGCUAACGCGUUAAGUCCUGCGCCUGGGGAGUACGGUCGCGAGACUGAA